UGCCCACACCUCCACCUCUUGCGCAGGAAGCGUGUUCCUAUUCUCCCGUCGUUUUGGCCUUCAUCCUAAGCGAGAGACGCACCUACAACAGCUAGGGUUCCCACCACCGCCGUCCUUUGCCCUCAAUCUCCUCCUCUGUUCCCUCGGUACGUUCAAGAGCCUCCGCCAAGCCCUCCUCCCUCACCAGUUUCUCCGCGCGUCGGGGACGCACUCGACGUUGUCGUCCAUCCCCCUCGCGUUGGGGAACGCGUCGCCGCCGUCGAUUCAUCCGCAUGACCGGAGAUGCAGACGCCGGCGUUGUUCAUGCACAAUCCACACAGCCAGGAAAGACGCAAGCACCGACGCCCCCGUCUUCCUCACACUGCAGUAGUUCAGCAGGAUUCUUCUACCCCAAACGAUGAACAAGAGAUGAUUUCUGCAGAGAGACAACAAGUUCAGAACCUGUAUGGUUUGCUAAGGAAAUGACCAUAAUUUCGUGGUCAACCAAAAAGGCAUCUAUUCUUCAUCCCUUGAUCUCCCAGCUAGAGUUGGGGUAACCAAUUCUUAGUUUUUAAUUCAUGAUGGUUCUAAUUCACUUACAUUCAAGCCUCAUAAUGCUACUUUUAAGCCUCAUAACAAUCAGUUAAGUGUAAGACAAAAACCAUGUAGAAAAGCCAGUUCAACAACCUUUUUCACCAAGCUUAUACUUGAAUGGGCUGAUGCAUGUAGAUGUGAUAUGUAAUUUUAGUAAGAUGGGAACAUGACGAUUGAUGUUUCAAGUGAUGAUAAUGCAUAGGGACUGGAGGCGUGGUUUGAGGCGGCAGUUAACCGUACAAUUUUCACGAAGAAUGAUUGUGUACAUUUUUACUCAAUACUCGUUUCUUGUGAUGCAUUAGGUUUUAAUUUUCUUGCUGCUAUGUGUGUGGAUCAAUCCUUACUCAUUUUCAUGCCGCUUGUGGUCUGAGUCCUUAUCUCUGCUUGGGGUGACGCUGCAAGAUCAGACGGAAACAUGACUUAUUAUGGUUCUGAGAAUUUUACAUGGAUCAGGAAAUUCUAAUGUUUGACUUUGUAGUACUCAGAUUACCAAGAUAAAUUGAGGAUGCAUGACUCAGAUUUUGAUUGCAAGGCUAAGAAGAUUUUGAUUCCGAGGCAAAUAAUUUGGCUACAAGUCAAUUAGAAUGUAAUUUUUAGUAUCAAUGUUACAAACAUUAUAGUUGAUGGCAAGGUCAAGAAUUGGCCUACUACUAGAUAGUUUCACCUCUUGUAAUCUUUGGACCAUGUUCUUUGUAAUGCCACAUAUUUUAUUUAAUAUAUGAGACUGGAUUGUUUAUUA